UAUUAUGGAGAUUGGUAUCUCGUAGAGAUUCUCGGUGAGCUUUUCUAAGUUCCUUGUUUGCUCCUUGAAAGGUCGUUCCAUUGUCUGAAUACAUGGAUUUUGGAAUUCCGCGUCGGGACACAAAUCUCGUAUAAGCUGCUAGGAAUGCGGCUGAUGUAUAGUCGCUUACGAGAUCUAAAUGGACGGCCUUUGUUGCCAUACAAACAAAAACUGCAAUGUAAGCUUUGUGCGAUUUGUGUCCUCGUCCCGAUGUAGUACGAACGUGAAUCGGGCCUGCGUAGUCGACACCUGUAUUUAUGAAUGGUCUUUCUACCGCAGUGACUCUGGAUGCCGGUAAAUCUCCCAUGAGCUCAGACGGAACAGAUGCGCGAUGACGAGCGCAUGGUACGCACCUAUGUAAAACGGAUCGUAUCGUGGUGCGUGCUCGCAAGAUCCAGUACUCACGUCGCAAACAGGCAAGAGUGAGUUGCGAACCUGCGUGCAGAUGGAUUACGAAAUAGCGAGUGUGCAAGUCGCCCUUUCGCCCUAAUAAGCCCGUCUUGGUCUAGGAUAGGGUUAAGAGAAAGUAACUUGCUGGAUUUUAGGAGAGUCCUUUUCGCAGACAGACUACUAAGCUCAUCCGGAAAUAGCUCGGAUUGCAUUCUUCUCAACCAAAGGAAUUUUGCUCUCUGAAUCUCGUCGGGUUGAAGAGGAGGCACUGCUAUUAGUGACUUAAUGGUGAGAGCACUGAUUGAGUUGGGAUAUUUUCCACUUCCCAGAAGCGGCGAAGAUCUGCAUCGAGAUUUUCUAACAACGUAGCGUGAUGGGCAUCUAUAAAGAAAGGAAGAGGAUGAGUGGACGUAGGACCAGAUAGGAUCCAUCCCAGGUGUGUAUUUUGCGCGAUCGGUUCACUUGUAGAACCUUUCCGAACUCCGUCCAAUAAUAAUUGACCAAACAAAUCCGCACCGAUAACGAUAUCGAUCGGAUCUGAGCUCAUGGGGUCUG